CAACAUUUGAAUAUUCAAUAUUUUGUAUUUUUGGUAGAAUUUUAACAUAAGUUUAAAAAAAAACUUAGGUAUAAAAUAUUUAGAUUUUUAUUUUCUAAAUAUAUAUUAAAGUUAGAUAUAACAACAAUCAUGUAAUAUUUUAUCCUUUGGAAUAUUCUGUGAAGUUUGAACUUUGAGUGGCAUCCAUAAAAAUAAGCACUUGCUUUUGUGUGUGUGUGUGUGUGUUUGUGUGUGUGUGUGUGUGUGUGUGUGUGUGUGUGUGUGUGUGUGUGUGUGUGUGUGUGUGUGUGUGUUUUAUAAUUCAAUAAACUAGUGAUAUGUAGAAAACGUAAUAACAUUUCUAAUGUAAAAGCCCUGCCUGUCAAUUUCAGGCCACACCCCCUCCAUGCAGUUUAUUUUAGUACUGGAAACGGUACAUAAACGUCUGUUAGAAUUACUAUUACAUAAAUGUGAAGUAGGAUUAUAUUACAUUUUGCUUUAUUUACUUUUUUAUUUAUUUAAUCUGUUCAUCCGUCCAUCCAUCCCUCUAUAUGUGAAAUUGCUUUUUCCUCCUGCAUUUAAUAUCAUGCUGUUCUCACAGCCAGAGAAUCCAUUUCUCCAAGGAUGCUGGUGUGUACACGCACACACACACACACACACACACGUACACACAUGUAUACACACACACACACACACACACACACACACACACACACACACUGCAGGUGGAGUCAGGAGAGAUUAAUUAUUGGUAAAGGCCAGGCUGAGCCUGAGAGAACGCCUGCAGGACAUUUUCAAUGUUUUAUGAAUCUAAUAAGAGAGAAAAGGGUUCAAACGACCGACACACACACACACACACACACACACACACACACACACACACACACACACACACACACUCUCUCUCUCUCUCUCUGUCUCACACACACACGCACACGUUUAAAAACAUGUUCGCACACCACCCACACGCCCCACUGUUAAAGCUCAGAGGACAACAACAGUAUCCCAGAAUGCACCACGGCUCUGAGAGCAGACGACACAACACAGUGAAAUUAACUGUACACUAUAACAACACUGUAUAAUAAUAAUAAUAAUAAGAAGAAGAAGAAGAAGAAGAAGAACAAGAGAGAGUGGAUGAAGAAGAAGUGUAAAAAUAAAGAGUAAAGCAGAACGAUGGAGUUAGACAGAUGCAGUGGAUAUGGAGAGAAAGUGGGAGAAGAAAGGGUGUAAAAAUAAAUAUAGUGAAUCAAAAAGAUAAAUAUAGUGAGACAUAAAGAUAAAUGCAGUGAGACAAAAAUAGAGACAGAAAUAUUUCAAAUUUAUAAAACUUUAAAAAGCUGAAAUGUAUUCUUCAGUAACUCAAGGAUAUCAGAACCGUUACUCUGGCACUGAGAACUGAGCUCAGGUGCACAGUGUUUAAUCUGAUCAUCUCUCUGAUGUUCCCAGAACUUGAUUAGGAGUCUGAGUCUGCCAAAUGUCCAAAUGAAGCUGAUUAAACAUAAUUUGGAAAGACAAAUACCUGUAAAUACGAGGUUCCACAAUUCCCAGAUCAUUUCUGACCAAAAACCAGUCUAAGGUUCUCUAUGUAGAACGUUGCUGUUGGGUUGUGUUGAGGACAUAGACGAAACUCUGAUAGAACUUUAAGGAUCUAAUGCAGAGAUUAUAUAACAGGAACCAUGGACGCCUGUUAAAAUAACAUCCUUACCAUCGAGCUGCUCUCACGAUAGACUGGGAAGAAGAGGUUCUUUAAGAACCCCCACCCCCCCCCACCCCACCCCGACUGUACACGACCUUGAACCCGGGCACAAAGCCAAGAUCGCAUUAGAAUGGCUUCACAAAGAGACCUUGAAUGUCCUUGAUGCCCAAAGAACCCUAAGGAACUUUACUUGAGAGUGGAAGAUGUGUGAAGAGUUGGUAGGGGAGGAGAACCAUCUCUAAAACUGGCCAAUAUGUUGAAAUUGUGUUGGACAAAAUGCAGGGAGGUAACUAAUGGCCUAACAAGGAGACCUUGAAUGUCUUCAAGUGGCCCAGUCUGAACAAAAACCAUUUAAAAAAGCUUACUGGAGAGCUGAAGAUAUCAAGUUCUGUUGAGGGACCCAUCUAAGCUGGGGAAAAGAAUGAUCUUUUAAGCUGGGCAGUGUGGAAGAAGGCUGGACAUGGGCCAAAACACGGGGGGGUUGGAGGGUGACCAAGAAUUGGACUAGCAAUCUCAGGCAAUGGGAGGGGUGGACUGUAGAGAAGAGAGAACCUCCUGGAAGGAAGAUUCUGAAAGUAGCAGUACCUUCAGGGUGGUAGCAGUAACUCUGCUUCAUCACACCACCCCAUUACUCAGUAUUUCACUAUAACACACACACCGUGUUUAUGACUUGCAUAUUGCACAAAGGUUCCACUCUGUUCUUUGGUCCAGACAUGGUUUGUGAGGAUACUGUAAAUGAAGCAAGAGAGAAGAAACAGUGGCAAGAUGCUGACAUUGCAACAAGGGCAAAGUGGAGAUGGUGGAGGAGGAGGGUGUGUGUGUGGUGAUUUGAGGAACAUGGAGAAUUAAGGGCAAGCUUUAUGGUAGAUCACCCAGAAGAGCUGGUCCUGGGGUAAAUCCCUCGUUCCUCCAUCUGACUGCUGCAGUCACUCUCUGAUGCCAACAUCCUUGUUGGUUGCCAUGGAAACCAAGUCUUCUUCCCAUCCCUCUCUCUCUCUCUCUCUCUCUCUCUCUCAUGGGUUUCCCUGUUUAAAAGGAUCUGGUCGCUACCUUCCUCCCUGACUGAUUACCAUCUAUCUCUCUUUCUCUUUAGCUCGCUUUCCUUUUUCGUUCACGCUCUCUUGCUGUAUCGGUGUCACAGCUUGGGACAAGACGAGGCUUAAAUCUGCAUCUGGCCAAAAAUCUGAGGCUAAACAUGUCCACCCAGAUUCACCCAAACCACAUAAACACUCAUUAUGUCUCAGCAGGGGGCAGACUGGAGCCUUCUGUCUUACUCCUGGCUGUAAUAAAGCUGUAUGAGAGAGAAAGAGAGAGACAGACAGAAAGAGAGAGUGAGACUGGGUGAUUAUGUAACGUAGCUAACAGGCGAAUCUCUCCCGCUCUGUGUAAGGGGGAGAUAAAAGAAAGAAGUGGAUAAAUAGACAGACAUGCAUUCGCUUUAAGAAAUCAGAGUCUGGAUAGCAAAUCUAAAUAAAUAUUCAGAAACCAAGGAGCUCUGUCAAAAAAGUCACAGAGUUCAUCUAAGAGAGUCCAUGUAACAGUUCAGAAUUAAAAUAAAAAGCAUAAAAAAUCCACAGCUCAGAUUCACAGCAGGACUCUGUGAUGAUUGCGACUGCUAGCAUUGUUGAAAAAGACCAGGAUGUAAUCGCUAACCUGGGUGGGGCGGUGGUGCAGUGGGUAGCAUUCCAGUGCUCGGGUCCCAGAGUUUGUGUGCUUAGAAAAGCUCAUUGUGAUUAAAUGUUUAUUUUACUGCUAGAAACCGGUGCAGGGACGUGUGGUCAGCCAAUCAACAUCCCAAAACACGUGUCCAGAAAAGAGUAAAAAGGAUAUCAGAUGCUCUGUAAGCGAUGGGUGAAGCAGCUGAAGAUGAAACUAACGCCAUAUUGUCGUGCAAGAAAUUUCUUAGGCAGGUUUUCCAUGUUCUCCUUGUGUCUGUCUGUCUUGGUUUCUCCCACUUUCCAAAACAUCAACAGGCUGAGGUGUGUUGCGUCUGGGACGUGUUGAGUCCGGGACGUGUUGAGUCCGGGGCGUGUUGAGUCCGGCGCGUGUUGAGUCUGAGGUGUGUUGAGUCUGGGUGUGUUGAGUCUUGGUCUGGGGUGUGUUGAGUCUGAGGUGUGUUGAGUCUGAGGUGUGUUGAGUCUGGACUGUGUUGAGUCUGAGGUGUGUUGAGUCUGGAGUGUGUUGAGUCUGAGGUGUGUUGAGGAUGGAGUGUGUUGAGUCUAGAUCUGGGGUGUGUUGAGGAUGGAGUGUGUUGAGUCUAGGUCUGGGGUUUGUUGAGUCUGGGGUGUUGAUGGAUUCGCUGCGCUGUGUGUAAUAACACACUCCUUUAAUAACACUAAAUGGACACUAGUGCAGAUGUGCGAGCCGUAAUGACAGUUAUGCUAAUUGUUUUAUUAAUUCUAGCUGCAGAUGUUUCCGUGUGGACUUGAGAUUUCAGACGAAGCGUUCGUUCAUCAGAUCAGAGACGACUUUAUUCACAGUGGAUUGGGACGUGACCGAUUAGCACGACCUUCUGUUAGCGUUAGCGUUUUUCAUUUAAACACACAUCAUGGUGUUGUUGUGUUUAAAUGAUCAACAAACACCAAAUCCCUUCUAAUCACACAGCGCUUUACUUCCUCACUUCCUCAUUCUUCAUUCAUUCUAAUCAUAAUAAUCAUUUCAUUAUACCAAUACUUCAGGAAUACUUCAGGAAGCAUCAUGUGACUGUAAUUACUAAAGAUGUGUUUUGGAAUCUGGAGGAAUCCCCACAGCAGUUUACACAUGAACUAUAGGUCUGUCAAGCUCCGCCUCCUCUCUACUGUCAUUGGAUGGCUUGAUAAACCAAUCAGACUAAUUUCUGCACUGAUUGGAUGGCAAGGAGAGAAACUUAAUAUUACGUCAAUGCAAUGAAUGUGUAUGUCCAUACACGUGUGUGUGAGAGUAUGUGCGUGAGAGUGUGUGUGUGUGUGUGUGUGUGUGUGUGUGAGAGAGAGAGUGUGUGUGUGUGUGUAUGAGAGAGAGAGAGAGAUAGAGAUGGGGAGAGGGAAAGAAAGAGCGAGCGCCUGCUGUUGUAACAUCCCUCAGAACAUGAAGGGGGCCGUGAUGAUUCACCCAGUAAAACACACACACACACACACACGCACACACACACACACGCACACACACACACACACACACACACACACCAUGUCCUUGAGCAUAACUCCUG
ensembl:lncRNA